GCAGUUGUGGCCUAAUGGUUAGAGAGUCAGCCUUGUAACCUGUAGGUUCUGGGUUUGAGUCUCAGGUCUGGCA